UUUGCUUGAAAGUUAUCUUAAAUUACCCUUUUUUCUUGCUGCUUUUGGUACAAAAUAAUGUGAUGAAUAAUGAUUCAAACUUAUCUAUCCAUUGCAGAAUGUUAUGGAGAAUAUUUACUGGGUUAGCAUGCAUACCUGCAUCGCAGAGGUCAUUUGAGAGGAGCAAGAAGCAACCAUGGCCAUGUGGCCAAGGGCAGCUGAAGAAUGGAACAAAUGUGCUGAGAGGAAUGACCAAGCACCUCUGCACUUCAGCUCUUCUGGGACAUGCAAAUUUGCUAUAAAACAGUAUAGCCAUUCAGAUCCAUACAAAGAACUUUAUCCAAAUGUUUUCCCUUUUUCCUAGAGGCAACACAAAAGACAAAGAGUUUUCAAAAGGAGGACCUGGGAAUUCUCAACACUGCAAGUUAGUUCCUUGGCAUUUUCAUGAUGAAAACCAAAGGGACCAGGAUCUGUCUCUGGGAACAUGGUUCCUAUGGUGGUGACUAAUGGAAGCAGCAGUGGGGUCAUGGCAAUGUGGCACCAACAUAGAUCUGGAGAAAGGUACAGGGCUAGAAGAGGAGUGGGCAGAAGGCAGAGACAGUACAGGUGCAGAGUAAUGGAACAGCCUGAUACAUGUACCACACAGACA